rnacentral:rRNA from 1 species
CGGGACACGUGGUAUCCUGUCUGAAUAUGGGGGGACCAUCCUCCAAGGCUAAAUACUCCUGACUGACCGAUAGUGAACCAGUACCGUGAGGGAAAGGCGAAAAGAACCCCGGCGAGGGGAGUGAAAAAGAACCUGAAACCGUGUACGUACAAGCAGUGGGAGCCUCUUAAUGGGGUGACUGCGUACCUUUUGUAUAAUGGGUCAGCGACUUAUAUUCUGUAGCAAGGUUAACCGAAUAGGGGAGCCGAAGGGAAACCGAGUCUUAACUGGGCGUUAAGUUGCAGGGUAUAGACCCGAAACCCGGUGAUCUAGCCAUGGGCAGGUUGAAGGUUGGGUAACACUAACUGGAGGACCGAACCGACUAAUGUUGAAAAAUUAGCGGAUGACUUGUGGCUGGGGGUGAAAGGCCAAUCAAACCGGGAGAUAGCUGGUUCUCCCCGAAAGCUAUUUAGGUAGCGCCUCGUGAAUUCAUCUCCGGGGGUAGAGCACUGUUUCGGCAAGGGGGUCAUCCCGACUUACCAACCCGAUGCAAACUGCGAAUACCGGAGAAUGUUAUCACGGGAGACACACGGCGGGUGCUAACGUCCGUCGUGAAGAGGGAAACAACCCAGACCGCCAGCUAAGGUCCCAAAGUCAUGGUUAAGUGGGAAACGAUGUGGGAAGGCCCAGACAGCCAGGAUGUUGGCUUAGAAGCAGCCAUCAUUUAAAGAAAGCGUAAUAGCUCACUGGUCGAGUCGGCCUGCGCGGAAGAUGUAACGGGGCUAAACCAUGCACCGAAGCUGCGGCAGCGACACUAUGUGUUGUUGGGUAGGGGAGCGUUCUGUAAGCCUGUGAAGGUGUACUGUGAGGUAUGCUGGAGGUAUCAGAAGUGCGAAUGCUGACAUAAGUAACGAUAAAGCGGGUGAAAAGCCCGCUCGCCGGAAGACCAAGGGUUCCUGUCCAACGUUAAUCGGGGCAGGGUGAGUCGACCCCUAAGGCGAGGCCGAAAGGCGUAGUCGAUGGGAAACAGGUUAAUAUUCCUGUACUUGGUGUUACUGCGAAGGGGGGACGGAGAAGGCUAUGUUGGCCGGGCGACGGUUGUCCCGGUUUAAGCGUGUAGGCUGGUUUUCCAGGCAAAUCCGGAAAAUCAAGGCUGAGGCGUGAUGACGAGGCACUACGGUGCUGAAGCAACAAAUGCCCUGCUUCCAGGAAAAGCCUCUAAGCAUCAGGUAACAUCAAAUCGUACCCCAAACCGACACAGGUGGUCAGGUAGAGAAUACCAAGGCGCUUGAGAGAACUCGGGUGAAGGAACUAGGCAAAAUGGUGCCGUAACUUCGGGAGAAGGCACGCUGAUAUGUAGGUGAAGCGACUUGCUCGUGGAGCUGAAAUCAGUCGAAGAUACCAGCUGGCUGCAACUGUUUAUUAAAAACACAGCACUGUGCAAACACGAAAGUGGACGUAUACGGUGUGACGCCUGCCCGGUGCCGGAAGGUUAAUUGAUGGGGUCAGCGCAAGCGAAGCUCUUGAUCGAAGCCCCGGUAAACGGCGGCCGUAACUAUAACGGUCCUAAGGUAGCGAAAUUCCUUGUCGGGUAAGUUCCGACCUGCACGAAUGGCGUAAUGAUGGCCAGGCUGUCUCCACCCGAGACUCAGUGAAAUUGAACUCGCUGUGAAGAUGCAGUGUACCCGCGGCAAGACGGAAAGACCCCGUGAACCUUUACUAUAGCUUGACACUGAACAUUGAGCCUUGAUGUGUAGGAUAGGUGGGAGGCUUUGAAGUGUGGACGCCAGUCUGCAUGGAGCCGGCCUUGAAAUACCACCCUUUAAUGUUUGAUGUUCUAACGUUGGCCCGUAAUC